UACGGUCAUAUCACGUUCAAACACAGGUCCCCCGUACAAUCACCGAAGUUAAGUAACGUCGAGCCUGGUCGGUACUUAGAUGGGUGACCGCUUGGGCAUGCCAGGUGCUGUAAU